GUGGGGAAUUUUGGACAAUGGGCGCAAGCCUGAUCCAGCCAUGCCGCGUGAGUGAAGAAGGCCUUCGGGUUGUAAAGCUCUUUCGGCCGGGAAGAAAUCGGCGACUCUAACAUAGUCGCUGGAUGACGGUACCGGACUAAGAAGCACCGGCUAACUACGUGCCAGCAGCCGCGGUAAUACGUAGGGUGCGAGCGUUAAUCGGAAUUACUGGGCGUAAAGCGUGCGCAGGCGGUUUUGUAAGACAGAUGUGAAAUCCCCGGGCUUAACCUGGGAACUGCGUUUGUGACUGCAAGGCUAGAGUACGGCAGAGGGGGGUGGAAUUCCUGGUGUAGCAGUGAAAUGCGUAGAUAUCAGGAGGAACACCGAUGGCGAAGGCAGCCCCCUGGGCCUGUACUGACGCUCAUGCACGAAAGCGUGGGGAGCAAACAGGAUUAGAUACCCUGGUAGUCC
rnacentral:rRNA from 1 species